rnacentral:rRNA from 1 species
GUGGGGAAUCUUCCACAAUGGACGAAAGUCUGAUGGAGCAACGCCGCGUGAGUGAAGAAGGGUUUCGGCUCGUAAAGCUCUGUUGUCGGGGACGAAUGUGCAGUAUUUGAAUAAAGUACUGCAAUGACGGUACCUGACGAGGAAGCCACGGCUAACUACGUGCCAGCAGCCGCGGUAAUACGUAGGUGGCAAGCGUUGUCCGGAAUUAUUGGGCGUAAAGGGAGCGCGGGCGGGAAGGUAAGUCGGUCUUAAAAGUGCGGGGCUCAACCCCGUGAUGGGAUCGCAACUAUCUUUCUUGAGUGCAGGAGAGGAAAGUGGAAUUCCUAGUGUAGCGGUGAAAUGCGUAGAUAUUAGGAGGAACACCAGUGGCGAAGGCGACUUUCUGGACUGUAACUGACGCUGAGGCUCGAAAGCCAGGGGAGCGAACGGGAUUAGAUACCCGGGUAGUCC